rnacentral:rRNA from 1 species
GACGAACGCUGGCGGCGUGCCUAACACAUGCAAGUCGAACGGAACUGUUUUGAAAGAUUUCUUCGGAAUGAAUUUGAUUUAGUUUAGUGGCGGACGGGUGAGUAACGCGUGAGUAACCUGCCUUCAAGAGGGGGAUAACAUUCUGAAAAGAAUGCUAAUACCGCAUGACAUAUCGGAAUCACAUGAUUUUGAUAUCAAAGAUUUUAUCGCUUGAAGAUGGACUCGCGUCCGAUUAGUUAGUUGGUGAGGUAACGGCUCACCAAGACCGCGAUCGGUAGCCGGACUGAGAGGUUGAACGGCCACAUUGGGACUGAGACACGGCCCAGACUCCUACGGGAGGCAGCAGUGGGGGAUAUUGCGCAAUGGGGGCAACCCUGACGCAGCAACGCCGCGUGAAGGAUGAAGGUUUUCGGAUUGUAAACUUCUUUUAUUAAGGACGAAAAAUGACGGUACUUAAUGAAUAAGCUCCGGCUAACUACGUGCCAGCAGCCGCGGUAAUACGUAGGGAGCAAGCGUUGUCCGGAUUUACUGGGUGUAAAGGGUGCGUAGGCGGCUUUGCAAGUCAGAUGUGAAAUCUAUGGGCUCAACCCAUAAACUGCAUUUGAAACUGUAGAGCUUGAGUGAAGUAGAGGCAGGCGGAAUUCCCCGUGUAGCGGUGAAAUGCGUAGAGAUGGGGAGGAACACCAGUGGCGAAGGCGGCCUGCUGGGCUU